ensembl:lncRNA
GAAACUGCACGUGGAAGCAGUCGGGGAAAGGUUGGCCGAGCAGCAGUAAUGAAGAGAAAGUGAUGUGGUGCAAAAACAGUACUUGGAGUGCCUCCUGUGAAGAGGUUGUGGUGUAGGAAAGGUUAACAGCAGUCAUUUGCACUGAGUCUUUUCCCAGGCAAGUUACUUGAAGUUACCUGGACAAAAUGCUGUAAAAAGUACUCAUACAUAACUGUGCUGUCCUUCAGAACAUAUGGAGAAAACUUCUGUCCUUCAAGACUGGUGGCCUUCCAUCUAAAUCGAUCUACUCACAUACAUAAAACAAAAUGCAUACGAUUUCUUCUAGGAUUGGGACCCAAAUGCUGUGCUUUCAACUUGUAGAAUCAUCAUUUUCAGACAUCCAUGGAGAGAAGAAAAGUCCCACAGCCCAAUUCAGAUGUAAGAGAAGCGAUAGCGUUCUUUGACUCGGUUAUUGCAGAUCUGGAUUCAGAGAGAUGCCGGAGAGCUCCUGACAUGGACCUGCCAAAUGCAGAUGUUGAUUUUGAUGUGGCUACCAGCACAAGCGAACACAGUUUACAUUCAAACUGGAUCCUUCGUGCUCCUCGCAGGUACUCAGAAGAUACUGCCCAAACAGCAAAGGCUGCAAACCAGUCACAAAAAAACAGCCAACGAAGAACAACUGGCUCUAGAAAGAGGUUGGAAAGACAUCCCAUGUAUUUGCCCAAAGCUGUGGAAGGAGCAUAUAACACAUUAAAAUUUAAGCCCAAAACACGGAAGAAAGAAUAUUGAAAGAAUAUUCCACCUUCACCUGAAGACAGACAUUUGAAACUGGCAUGGAAGACUUGAUGCUCUUUCUUUUUUUACCCCCAGCCCAUAUUUUGCACUCUAGAAAUAACAUGUGCAGUCACUGAAGAUUUUUCAUUUUGUAUACACUUCAAGCCAUGGCAAUUCUGACACUGGACUCAUGUGAGGAUUUAACUCAUCGAGUUCAUUGUGCCUAACAAUACCGCUUUGUCAUUCAGCACGGAGGGGAGCUCCCAACUUGACAUGCCUUCUUUUAGUGCUGCUAUUGAAAGCAAUGAUUCAGAAAUUAUCUGGUGUGGUAAAUUUUCUUCUGACUCCAAUACAGCAAGACAAUGCAGCUAAUACUCUAUGAGCUUUUGCAUCAGUGUUUCCAACUUCAGAGCAGUGAAGCAGAGUUUUCUCUGUUUUUUGUAUGUGAAAAUCUGUAUGUGCCAUUGUUGACUCUGUGGUCUGAGAGUAUACAGCAGCACUGAGAUACAAGGAAGCAGUGGUACAAGCAGAAAAGGCUGUAGUGAAGGAUCAAGCAUUAGAUUCCUGGUGCUGUUUUGAGGAAUAGCUUUGGUGUGUUUUCGAAAAAAAAAAAAUAGCCAAGUACCUUGCUUGCUGGUGGGAAUAGUUCUGUUCUUGGAUAAAACAAAAUCAAAGGAUUUGCUGCUUGCAAAAACAUGUUCAGCUGUUUUCAUAUAGUUACACCACCUCUUAGUUUACAUCUAUGUCAUCAUCUGAAUGCUGAGUAAACUUGAACCAAAUGGUAGGAGCAUAGGCAUCCUACUAUGCAUGGAAAGAGCUUAAUGUCUUACAAAAGAACACUGUGUGAAUGAAGUGAAGCAAAGGUUAUCCUCAAGGGCAGAGGGCAAUCUGCAGGUAAAUCCACCACAUCAGCAUUAGAUUAUACGUAGUAUUCUGAUUUCUGCCAGCCCAUCAUUAAAUACUACACAUAUUAGGAAGAAUGCAGUCUAGAAUGUUCCUCUUCAGGCUUUUUCAUCUUAGAGGCAAUGUCUUUCAUGUCAGUCAUGAAACUGUUAUGACCCAUACUCCUCCUCUUUUUCUGUUUAUAUCACAGACAUCAGUCUGAGACAUCCCCAGCUCAUGCUUGGUCUUAAAAAUUUGCUAAGAUGUUUGGAUCAAGAGUUUGUUAACCCUAUUGUUUUUUCAUCUGAUGUUUUUCAAUUGGUGGUUCACUGUGACAGACGGAUCACAACAACACUGACAUGACCAUCUCUUGUUUCUAUGUUUUGUAUGUUUUGUGCCUACAGGCUUGGAUAAAGGCACUGGCCAUCAAUAUAACCUAUCUGAUAC